rnacentral:rRNA from 1 species
UACGGGGGGAGCAAGCGUUGUUCGGAUUUACUGGGCGUAAAGGGCGCGUAGGCGGCCACUGCAAGUCAGUUGUGAAAUCUCCGGGCUUAACCCGGAAAGGUCAACUGAUACUGCAGGGCUAGAGUGCAGAAGGGGCAACUGGAAUUCUCGGUGUAGCGGUGAAAUGCGUAGAUAUCGAGAGGAACACCUGCGGCGAAGGCGGGUUGCUGGGCUGACACUGACGCUGAUGUGCGAAAGCGUGGGGAGCAAACAGG